rnacentral:rRNA from 1 species
GACGAACGCUGGCGGCGUGCUUAACACAUGCAAGUCGAACGAAGAGCGAUGGAAGCUUGCUUCUAUCAAUCUUAGUGGCGAACGGGUGAGUAACGCGUAAUCAACCUGCCCUUCAGAGGGGGACAACAGUUGGAAACGACUGCUAAUACCGCAUACGAUCUAAUCUCGGCAUCGAGGAUAGAUGAAAGGUGGCCUCUACAUGUAAGCUAUCACUGAAGGAGGGGAUUGCGUCUGAUUAGCUAGUUGGAGGGGUAACGGCCCACCAAGGCGAUGAUCAGUAGCCGGUCUGAGAGGAUGAACGGCCACAUUGGGACUGAGACACGGCCCAGACUCCUACGGGAGGCAGCAGUGGGGAAUCUUCCGCAAUGGACGAAAGUCUGACGGAGCAACGCCGCGUGAGUGAUGACGGCCUUCGGGUUGUAAAGCUCUGUUAAUCGGGACGAAAGGCCUUCUUGCGAAUAGUGAGAAGGAUUGACGGUACCGGAAUAAAGCCACG